GUGCGGCCACCGUGACACCUGCGGCCCCGCGGGGUUGAAGGGCCGCGGGCAGGGACAGGCAGGGACAGGGAGGAGCGAGGGGAAUCGGGGGCAGCGGGUCCCACCGACUCCCUGGGGCCCGGCCGGGCGGGCUCCCACCAGGUUCUGGAGGGAAAGGAUCAGAAAGUCCCAUCAGGGGAGGGAAGGCCUUCCUGGGAGUCGCCCUGUUUCCAUUACUGCCAACACGGUGGGAAGAAGGUACAAAGUAAGUAAGAAACAGGAGAGCUGAAUCCAGAUGCAUCCAUGAAUGGAACCUAAGAGGUCAAUACCAAGAAGCCCUCCCGCUGCAUCACGUAGUGAGAUGCAUUAGCUCUGUAAGGAACAACCAGGUGGCCUCUGCAGACCCGCAACAGUGUGUGACAGCUGGUGUUGCUCCCCAUCCUCGCUGUUCCCGAUUUGGGCUCUUCCAGGUACCCAGAAGGGGAUUUUUGUCUGGUACUUAUGUGGACCCCUGGCUGAGAUCCCCGUGGCAGAUCUCACAAUAUCCUGACCCCCGUCUCCAUGCCUGGGUCAGCCUGGAGCUUUCGUGUCUCAAAGCUGUCCCCACCGAGCUACUGGGAAUUCGUGAAUUCCAGGUUAGGCUUUCCUCCCCCGUCGCUGGUUUCUGAGGAGCUUCAGAGGGUUUCACAGAAACCUUCUGAGGUGGAGGCUGGUUGUAUUCCCUCUUAUAGUCGACGAGCUCGAGACCCACGGAGAGCAAGGAAUUUGCCAGGUUCAUCGAGCUGAGGAGCGGUGGAGCAGGGUUUCCAAGGAGCUCGGCCGGCCCCAGAGCCCUUCAUCCUGGCCCCUUGUUAAUACUCUCUCAAAAGCCUAAAGGGAGAUAUUCAGAAACCACUUAACGUCCAUCAACAAGAGCAUCAAGUAGCCAUAAAAUAGACAACUUUGCAGUAGCUUCAUCUACUAACACGGAUGUAAGUUGAAUCACAACCAUGAACUCAAAAGUCACGCGUGAAUAUAGCAGUUCAGUAUCACUUAUAUGCCAUCUUACAAUAUAUAAAAAAAACAUAUUUUUACGGGUACGUAUGUGUAAUAGAGGCAAUACGUACACCAGGAUAAUAAACAUCAGGCUCCACAUAACAGUUCCGGCCGGACUACGCAGGCGAGUUCUAAUUCACCUUAAGGUCAAAAAGAAGAAAAUCCAAAGCAAGUCUGGCAUCACGUUAACAUUUGUCAAAAUCACGAACUGGGCAGUCAGCUGUUUCUUGCAUUAUUUUGUAAAACUUCGCGUGUGAAUUUUUCAUGACGACGUGACAACGCUACCACUGAUACAAACCUUAAACUCCUCUUGUCACAGUCCGCGCAACUUUUAUUUUUGUUGUCUCUCUGAUGUGUGAACACGUUGACGGGAAGGUGGACCCAUUCACCGCCCCCUUAGGGUGCUCAGGGCCCAGGACAUCCGCCGAGGCACCACCUGGGGAGCUCUCCCUGCGGCCGGGUGGGAAGGGGCCGACCCUAGGCACGCGGCCCCCUUGGUCCUGGGCCCGGAUUCCUCUCCCCUGGCCUGGCCUGGCUCCUUAGGGGGCUCCUGGUCCCUUGGCCUCCGAGAGCCGCGCAGGGAGCGGGCAUCCUGCCACCCUCCUGUGAAAGAAAAGGGUCCCUAUCCCCUUUGUCCCUAAGCCCUGGCAGGUGUUAUGCAAAUGUGUCAUCCUCUCAGGGGACUUUGAACUCCUCCCGCCAGAAGCAGGAAGGCAAUGGUCUCUAAGGAGACGAGGGCAGCGUGGCCACGAGGAAAUCCUCGUGAACCCGAAACUCCUCUCAUUAAGACGAGUCCCUGAAAUGGCUGGAAACGGCGGCCACUGCGGGAGGACCCGCGUCACCCUGACGCCCGGGAGCUGCCGACGCCUUCCAGUGGCAGCAUCACGCUCGGAGGCCGGAUCCUCGGCUCCCACCGACGCGGCUCGCCCGUAUUUAAAUUUCUCUUGAAGAAAAUCUGAGUGUGGUUAUGGUGAUAGUCUGUCCCUACCUUCAGGUCAUCUGCAAUCUAAA